GACGAACGCUGGCGGCGUGCCUAAUACAUGCAAGUCGAGCGAAGUUUUUCUGGUGCUUGCACUAGAAAAACUUAGCGGCGAACGGGUGAGUAACACGUAAAGAACCUGCCUCAUAGACUGGGACAACUAUUGGAAACGAUAGCUAAUACCGGAUAACAGUAUUUCUCGCAUGAGAGAUAUUUAAAAGUUGGUUAUGCUAACACUAUGAGAUGGCUUUGCGGUGCAUUAGCUAGUUGGCGGGGUAAAGGCCCACCAAGGCGACGAUGCAUAGCCGACCUGAGAGGGUGAUCGGCCACACUGGAACUGAGACACGGCCCAGACUCCUACGGGAGGCAGCAGUAGGGAAUCUUCCGCAAUGGGCGAAAGCCUGACGGAGCAACGCCGCGUGAGUGAAGAAGGAUUUCGGUUCGUAAAGCUCUGUUGUUAGGGAAGAAUGGAUAUGUAGUAACCAUACAUGUAAGAGACGGUACCUAACCAGAAAGCCACGGCUAACUACGUG
rnacentral:rRNA from 1 species